AAGUCGUAACAAGGUUUCCGUAGGUGAACCUGCGGAAGGAUCAUUAAAAGAGAGCGGUCGCCCCUCGCGGGUGGCCACCCCUCUACCCCUUGAAUUCGCACACCGCGUAGCCCCCCCGGAACCCCUCGCGGGGUGAAGGGGGAGCAAAAAACCAUAAAACGUUCUGACCUUUCUCAGUCUGAGCCACUUUUGGCAAAUAAAUCAAAACUUUCAACAACGGAUCUCUUGGCUCUG
rnacentral:misc_RNA from 1 species